GAUGAACGCUGGCGGCGUGCCUAAUACAUGCAAGUCGAGCGAACAGACGAGGAGCUUGCUCCUCUGACGUUAGCGGCGGACGGGUGAGUAACACGUGGAUAACCUACCUAUAAGACUGGGAUAACUUCGGGAAACCGGAGCUAAUACCGGAUAAUAUAUUGAACCGCAUGGUUCAAUAGUGAAAGACGGUUUUGCUGUCACUUAUAGAUGGAUCCGCGCCGCAUUAGCUAGUUGGUAAGGUAACGGCUUACCAAGGCAACGAUGCGUAGCCGACCUGAGAGGGUGAUCGGCCACACCGGAACUGAGAAACGGUCCAGACUCCUACGGGAGGCAGCAGUAGGGAAUCUUCCGCAAUGGGCGAAAGCCUGACGGAGCAACGCCGCGUGAGUGAUGAAGGUCUUCGGAUCGUAAAACUCUGUUAUUAGGGAAGAACAAAUGUGUAAGUAACUAUGCACGUCUUGACGGUACCUAAUCAGAAAGCCACGGCUAACUACGUG
rnacentral:rRNA from 1 species